AAAGAAUACCGUUGACGAUGAAUAACGUAAUGAGAAGAAGCAAUCGCAAGCUCAAUUCAUACUGAAGAUUUCAAGGAAAUUACGAAAAAGACACAGUAGAACCUCGAUUAUCCAAAUGUCAGUAAUCCGGGUUGAUAUUCCAAUAAAUACUCCAGCGGAAUCAGUAACUUAAAGAAAAAAAUGCAAUUUAGAAAGAUUAGGAAAACAAAAGUAUUUAAAAAAUAUGUAAUUAUUAUGUAAUAAAUUAUAAUUUUUCAUAUGUAAUGUA